GUCAGCAGCUAUAUCACCCUGCAACUCACAACUGGCAGCCCACUGGAGCUCAGCAGGUGUGAGCCUGGUCAGUACCUGGAUGGGAAACCUCCUGGGAAAAACUAAGGUUGCUGCUGGAA
rnacentral:rRNA from 1 species